rnacentral:rRNA from 1 species
UUUGGUGACAUUAGCGGAGGGGCAACACCGGUUCCCAUCCCGAACACGCAGGUUAAGCCCUCCAGCGCCGAUGGUACUUGGGGAAUUCCCCUGGGAGAGUAGGUCGUUGCCAAAU